rnacentral:rRNA from 1 species
UACGAAGGGGGCUAGCGUUGCUCGGAAUCACUGGGCGUAAAGGGUGCGUAGGCGGGUCUUUAAGUCAGGGGUGAAAUCCUGGAGCUCAACUCCAGAACUGCCUUUGAUACUGAAGAUCUUGAGUUCGGGAGAGGUGAGUGGAACUGCGAGUGUAGAGGUGAAAUUCGUAGAUAUUCGCAAGAACACCAGUGGCGAAGGCGGCUCACUGGCCCGAUACU